AUGCCUCCUUCGUCGUCGUUGAAUCGUCAAUCUUCUCAAACACAUUCACAUCCACACACUAACGGACGCCUUCUGAUCUUUCUUCCUCUGAUUUCUCUAUUCAUUUCUCUCUUCUUCUGUCGCAUCUGCUGCAACCGAAACAUAGUCAUUGGUAACAAGCUCAAGCGCAUCUUGAACACCAAAUAA